UCCAGGACAAGAACUGGUGGCAGAUGACAUAGUUGACACACAGAGGCCGUUUGUAUCUCAUGACGGCAUCGACCUCGUCAUUGGAACAGCAAGGGACGACAGAAAGGUCUACAUUGGAUGCGGCCUCUGGGUCAGCAAGGAGGCUUGGGGGACAUUGUUCCGGGCCACGUCCGAUUCAAUGUUCUGCCGUCUGGCAUCUACAAUGUUUUGGACCCCAGACGAGCUGAACAAUCGGAGCGUGACCGGAACAUUGUCAAACAAGUCUCGGUCAAAGGGGAGGACCGAGGCCAGACCAGCCCUGACGCCACAGAAGCUGUCGUCCCUAAAAGGCCUCUACCGUACCUUCUUGGGGACCAGUAUAGGGCCAGAGGA